rnacentral:rRNA from 1 species
AACGAACGCUGGCGGCAGGCUUAACACAUGCAAGUCGAGCGAGACCUUCGGGUCUAGCGGCGGACGGGUGAGUAACGCGUGGGAACGUGCCCUUCUCUACGGAAUAGCCCCGGGAAACUGGGAGUAAUACCGUAUACGCCCUCUGGGGGAAAGAUUUAUCGGAGGAGGAUCGGCCCGCGUUGGAUUAGGUAUUUGGUGGGGUAAUGGCCCACCAAGCCGACGAUCCAUAGCUGGUUUGAGAGGAUGAUCAGCCACACUGGGACUGAGACACGGCCCAGACUCCUACGGGAGGCAGCAGUGGGGAAUCUUAGACAAUGGGGGCAACCCUGAUCUAGCCAUGCCGCGUGAGUGAUGAAGGCCUUAGGGUUGUAAAGCUCUUUCAGCUGGGAAGAUAAUGACGGUACCAUCAUAAGAAGCCCCGGCUAACUCCGUG